rnacentral:tRNA from 1 species
UGGGGUUUAGGCUCAGUGGUAGAGUACUUGCCUACCUAGUAUGCACGAGGCCCUGGCUUCAAUCCCCAGCACCACAA